GACGAACGCUGGCGGCGUGCUUAACACAUGCAAGUCGAACGCUAAAGCUUGGUGCUUGCACUGGGUGGAUGAGUGGCGAACGGGUGAGUAAUACGUGAGUAACCUGCCCUUGACUCUGGGAUAAGCCUGGGAAACUGGGUCUAAUACUGGAUACGACAUGUCACCGCAUGGUGGUGUGUGGAAAGGGUUUUACUGGUUUUGGAUGGGCUCACGGCCUAUCAGCUUGUUGGUGGGGUAAUGGCUCACCAAGGCGACGACGGGUAGCCGGCCUGAGAGGGUGACCGGCCACACUGGGACUGAGACACGGCCCAGACUCCUACGGGAGGCAGCAGUGGGGAAUAUUGCACAAUGGGCGGAAGCCUGAUGCAGCGACGCCGCGUGAGGGAUGACGGCCUUCGGGUUGUAAACCUCUUUCAGCACGGAAGAAGCGAAAGUGACGGUACGUGCAGAAGAAGCGCCGGCUAACUACGUG
rnacentral:rRNA from 1 species